rnacentral:lncRNA from 1 species
CUCAGUCGUGUCUGACUCUUAGUGACCCCAUGCAGUGCAGCCCACCAAGCUCCUCCGUCCAUGGGAUUUUCUAGGCAAGAGUACUGGAGUGGGGUGCCAUUGCCGUCUCCAGCAGUUUCACUAAUCAGGCCUAUAAAUGGCAAGUCUUCACCUAAAUAGGUGAAAUAUGCCCCCAAAUCCACGCUAGCACCUAUUUAAUAAAUUCUAAACUCCCAAGAGAGGCCUAUAUAUACUAAAAAUUCCCUCCUCCUUGUAAAGAUUCUCUAUUCAGGCUCCAGCUUCACAAAGUAUGCCCAUUCUCCUCAAAACGUAACAAGUUUAGUCUCAAUAGAUCAAUGGCAGUGUAAGCUCAGUAUCCAAAGGAAACUACUACAAAAGUCAGAGACUUAAUGUUACACUCAUUUUCUGCAGUAAAAUUAGCACGUCAUGUGAAAUUUAUUUCCAUAUCUCAAAUCUGUAAACACGCCUCCCUAGUCUUAAAUAAUUUGAGGCAGUGAGAAUCCAGGCUCUGUAAGACUAAGAUCACAUAUUAUUCUGAUAAACAGGCAACUGGCUCAAGGCUGAAGAUGAUACUGAGAAUGGUAGGUCAGAACAACUAAAAGAUACUUUAUAAUGAGAAUCUUUAGUGAUUAUUCCCAUUUGUGCCUGAGUUUUUUCUAUGAAUUGCUACCAAAAGUAAUCUGAUAUAUUGUUUUGUAGUGUUGAAUCUUUAGUGUUUCUCCAAAUUUUUUUUACUAUGACCCAUAGAUCAAAAUACAUUUACGUCAGAACACAAUAUUGAUGUGUGUAUGUAUAUAUAUAUGUAUAUAUAUAUAUAUAUUGUUGAAACAAAAGCAUCACAAAAUGUUAUUUAUAAACAUCAUGUACAUUAAUAUUGUCUACUCUCUUCUAGUUUACUUUUUUAAAAUGAGGGUCCCAACUCACCAAGUUGAUUUUACAACUCAGUAAU